GCGAAGUCUUGUGGGCUUGGUGUCCCGAUGCAUGACGGUUUUCAUGCGGGACCUAACAGGGAAUUCAGUCAAGGCAGCCGCCCCAAGCUGAAGCCGCCCCCGCGACUGUAAGCGGUGAGCCCGACCCGAUAUGCCACUUAUCGCAAGAUAGGGAAGGCGGGAAAAGGCCACGACCCGCGAGCCAGGAGACCUGCCAAGCGCGAGAGAAACAA
rnacentral:ncRNA from 1 species